AAAGCUCGUUUGAUUCUGA
rnacentral:snRNA from 1 species